GGGGGAGCCACCGGCCUGUCGGGCUCCAGAGCCGCCCCUUCCGGGGGGCGCGGCAGAAAAAACCGCUGGUGAUGCCCAGAGCUGCCUUUUGCCUCCGUUGCUGGCAAGCGGGGCCUUGUUUGGUCCCCUCACCCCCCACGCAGCUGAUGAGGAGCUAUUGGCUGGGGUGGUGCCCCAGAAGCCCCUGGGGCAGGAAGGUGCAGCCGGGCUCUUACGUUAUCUGGCUUCGCUUAGGCCUCCUGUCCUCUGUUUCCUUAGGCUGGUUUUAAGAGAGGUGCAGAUCCUGGAAUGCCUGCGCCAACUAUUUUGAGUCUGCUUUGGGGAUGAAAGAUUGGCCAGACUGUAAAAGAACCAUUUGAUGGACAGAGAAAAUGGAGAUGUGGACCUUCACAAGGCUAGGGAAGGAGGACCCUGUAUCACAUUACAUCAGCUAGCCUGAGCAGCUUCCUGAUGACAUAGAUGUACAUACAACAAAAUGGAAUUUUUAUUGACCUAACUUAUUUGGUUUACAGUGAAAUUAAAUAAAUUGUUUGAAUCUGUG